rnacentral:rRNA from 1 species
AGUAAAUAGAUACCCAGGUAGUCCACGCCGUAAACGAUGAAUACUAGGUGUAGGAGGUAUCGACUCCUUCUGUGCCGCAGUUAAACACAAUAAGUAUUCCGCCUGGGGAGUACGGUCGCAAGAUUAAAACUCAAAGGAAUUGACGGGGGCCCGCACAAGCAGCGGAGCAUGUGGUUUAAUUCGAAGCAACGCGAAGAACCUUACCCAGACUUGACAUCUCCUGAAUUAAUCGUAAUUGAUGAAAUCCCUUCGGGGACAGGAAGACAGGUGGUGCAUGGUUGUCGUCAGCUCGUGUCGUGAGAUGUUGGGUUAAGUCCCGCAACGAGCGCAACCCUUAUCAUUAGUUGCUAACAUUAAGUUGAGCACUCUAGUGAGACUGCCCGGGUUAACCGGGAGGAAGGUGGGGAUGACGUCAAAUCAUCAUGCCCCUUAUGUCUGGGGCUACACACGUGCUAC